UACUCACCAUCCAUGAUACUUGAACACUGGAGGCAGUGAGUGUGACAGGCUCCUGAAGAUGAACACCCACCUCUCCCAACUCUCUCUGGACCUGCCUGUGGUCCACUCCCUGACCUGUACUGACCUUGUGUGCGGACGGGCUCAGAGAUGGGGCUGGGGUCACUCAGCCCGUAGGCGUUGACCGCUCGGACGAUGAACAGGUAGAUGGUGUUGGGAAAGAGACCACUGACAGUGUGUUUCUCCAACUUUACCAGGUGAAUACCUCAUGAAGCUGGUUGAGAGAAUGCCAAGAGUAUGCAAAGCUG